ACGGAUUAGAUUGUGGAUGAUCAGCCAUGAUCACAUUGAAUGGCGGUGCUGGCUCGAAGGGCUGAAUAGCCUAAUCCUGAAUCUAUUGUUUAUUGUCUAUUAAGCGGCUAGCUACCAGAGCAACCACUAAACUCAGGAGUAACUUAAGAUGGUUGAUGUUUGUGAAGGAUUUUUUUUUAAACAGACAAUUCUGAAAAAGGAUCUCAUCAGACAGAGGACUUCAUAUCUGCACAGAAACCACAUCAUGAUCCUUGCCUUUCAACAGCAAAACAAUCAAAGUCCUUCCACAUUUCCAGAACAAUUCCAUGACUCGACUGCAACAAAGGUCGUAGGAUGCAGGAAGAGAAAUCCAGAGAGUUUUCAUCUGGCUGCAAUGAAUGUAAAUGGAUUAAAAAGAUAAUUCAGAUUCAAAUAACAUGGAUUUAAUGUUUAAAUUUUCCAUCAGUCACAGUCACAUAGGCAUUGUUGGGUAAAUCGCAUGCCCUUUUCCUGUUGUUCAAAAUUCUGAUAAUCAAUUCUUGUGGAUUUUACUUGUUGAUACAUUGAAACAGACACUUUAAGUAAGUAAUGUGACAACCAGUUUUGGUCUAACAUGUUGGGGAAUUUCUUAUUAAAUAACUGCCUGUGUUAUCCAUGUUGACUCUUGUACACUGAUUCAGUGUGGUCUGCUGUCUUACACGUUUGUCCUUAGUGUGUUUGUACGCUUCCCAGCAAUCCGCGGAUGAGCCGAGGCCGGAGCCUCGCAGGACGGAGCCCGCCGCCGGCCCCUGCGGCUGGGACCUGGAUUGGUGCCACGGAGGCCUCUGAAGAGUAGCGGUCAAUGAUGGCGCCGACUAAUGGACGAGGAUGGACACAUGGAAGUAAGGACGUUGCUGCCGGGGGAAGAAUGGACCACCCGGCGUGGGGGGACUGCCGUGAUGGAGCUGGAGGAGAACAAAUGGGGACCUGGCACGGGAUACUUUAUAAGCACCCUUUAUGUGGUGACCAUUUACAUACCUUGGGUAUGCAAGCAAGGAAUUUCACUAUGACUUGUCACAUGCGCCAGUAAACUAUUCAUUCAGGAAUGUCACUGAACUGAAUGCAAAAAAAUAAUUUUAAUGCACUUAGGUAGAAGUGAUAAUAAAGUCCCAUUGAAGUAUUGAACACAGUGUAGUUACAGCCUCACAUAUUAAGGAUGAGGUUUCGGGCACUUGUAAGCACACGAUACAAGAGGCCAAAGUCACAUGUCUUUGUUAAGGGGAGAUCUCACUUGGCAAAUCUGUUGGAAUUCUUUCUCAGGGUAUCUGAUGGAAAUAUGCAAAGUAUUCAUAGCAUUUUGCUGUUACAUUUGUCCCCUCUCUAUUAUUGUAUUCAGAUAAUAAAGUUACACUGAACUUCAUAGAUGAGUAACAUUUAGUCCUCACGUUCCUCAGAAAGGUAGCCAGCAAAAUGGUAUCAUCACUUGGAAUAAUUUUUCUUAAAUUAAUAUAACACUUACCAAAUUAUAUUUUGCAAACAAAAUGAAAUAUUUUCCUUACCUUCUACAUCAUUCCAAAGGAAUGCAUUUACAGAAAGAAAACCCUGUAAAUUUCAUACAUUUUAACUUUCUGCUUCAAUGAAAAUUCAAUAAAAACAAUGUCAAAACCA